rnacentral:rRNA from 1 species
GACGAACGCUGGCGGCGUGCUUAACACAUGCAAGUCGAACGGUAAGGCUCCAGCUUGCUGGGGUACACGAGUGGCGAACGGGUGAGUAACACGUGGGUGACCUGCCCUGCACUUCGGGAUAAGCCUGGGAAACUGGGUCUAUUACCGGAUAGGACGGCACCUGGGGGGGGGGGGGGAAAGUUUUUUCGGUGUGGGAUGGGCCCGCGGCCUAUCAGCUUGUUGGUGGGGUAAUGGCCUACCAAGGCGGCGACGGGUAGCCGGCCUGAGAGGGUGGACGGCCACAUUGGGACUGAGACACGGCCCAGACUCCUACGGGAGGCAGCAGUGGGGAAUAUUGCACAAUGGGCGGAAGCCUGAUGCAGCGACGCCGCGUGGGGGAUGACGGCCUUCGGGUUGUAAACUCCUUUCACCAUCGACGAAGGGUUUCUGACGGUAGAUGGAGAAGAGGCACCGGCUAACUACGUG